GCCUGCGUUGCACAGUGGUAGUGCGUAGCUUUCCUAUUGUAUCGUUGAAUCGGCACAGAUAUCGAGGCUAAGGUCGUGGGUUCGAUCCCCACCGUGGGUU